UCAGUGGUACAGUCAGACCCUGCUGUCCACCCUCACCCUUCUCUCUGUGCAUCCUCCUUAAGCAGUCUCCUCAGUGCCCUGGGUUUUAUUGCUAUCCAAACGCCUAAAGAGGCACCUUUCAACUUUAGGGGCACCCCAUCUCCAGCGGCCUCCUGAGAAGCAUCCUCAAAUUCCACGCUGUGACUGAAGCCAGGUCUUUCUUCACUGUGCAGUUGAUACCCCAGGAUGCGAGUCAAGUGGCUUAACUAGCUCUCUCCUGCGCCUUCACGUGGCCAAGGCUGAUUCUGAAUCUGGAUGCCCUCAGACCUAAAUGUGGUACAGUGCCCUGGGGUCAGAACCCAGAACAGACAGAAAAACUAUUUACAGAAAUUUUAUAGGUUUAUUUGCUGCCCCCCCCCCCGCCCAUCCAAUCAAGCCUAACGCUUCCCAUGGUCUUAACUGUUUCAGCUUUGAAUUCUCCUAACAACAGGAUGUGGAAAUGUAAACUUGGUGCUGCGCAAGAGCUGCUUUUCCUCACUGUUCUGCCGGAGCCACCAGGCUCUGUCCUCCUCGCUCCAAGCACUCUCAUUGGCGUCCUCUCCCCCUUGCUCUGGCUGAUUUAUAGGGAACAAGGGGGCCCUGCCUUCCCAGCAGCAGACCCUGAGCCCUGGGCCCCACACCCCGCCCCCCUUCUCCCACCACAGGUCUUCUCCUGAGGUGGGACUGGAGCCCAGCCUCCCCCAGGAGCCAGCCAGUCACUUACCUUGGCCUCGGCCUCUGUGUGUCCCCAGCAGCCCUUCUCCACGGCUCACUCUUCACAUUUAGUCAUGCCUCGUUCACUCUCAGCUUUAAAAGAAAUUAUUUUUCUUUCCCAGUUGUUCUCAGCUCUGGCUUCUCAUUAAGACCACCUGGGAGAGUUUAAACAUGUUAUAGAGCCCACACUGUACCUCAUAACAGCUAAGUCACAAUUGCCAUGGGGAGGGACUAGGUGCCAAAAAAUUUUUCAUGCUCCCCAGGUGAUUCUAACUGCAGCCAGCAUUAAGAAACGAUGGUCUAAAUUAACCGUCCCUUUAGCUACCCCACCUGUCCUCCCUCAGGGUCAGACUUGACCGGCUGACUUCUUUCCCACUGCUCUGCCCCUCUGCCUCUGGAGUGCGCUGGCUCCUCAGCCCUCCAUGCCCCACCACCUCCCACUGCCUCAAAGUCCCAGAAGUUUUCAUUGGUAAGUCCCCCCCCCCACCUCCCACUGCCUCAACAUCCCAGAGGUUUUCAAUGGAAGUCCCCCUUUUAAGAUUACCUGAUCCCCUCCUCCCCCAGGGAUUGAACCCAGGGACACUUAAGCACUGAGCCAUAUCCCCAGCCCUAUUUUGUAUUUUAUUUAGAGACAGGGUCUUGCUGAGUUGCUCAGGGCCUCGCUAAGUUCCUGAGGCUGAUUUUGAACUCUGGAUCCUCCUGCUUCUGCCACCCCCGUCCCAGCCACUGGGAUUACAGGCAUGUGCCACCGCGCCUUGCUCAUUACCUGACUUGACUUGGCAGCACUGACCCUGCUGACCACCCUCACCCUUCUCUCUGUGCAUCCUCCUUAAGCAGUCUCCUCAGUGCUCUUGGUUUUAUGGCUAUCCAAAUGCCUAAAGAGGCACCUUUCAACUUUAGGGGCACCCCAUCUCCAGCGACCUCCUGAGCAGCACCCUCAAAUUCCACACUGUGACUAAAGCUAGGCCUUCCUUCGCUGUGCAGUUGAUACCCCAGGAUGUGAGUCAAGUGGCUUAACUAGCUCUCUCCUGCACCUUCACGUGGCCAAGGCGGAUUCUGAAUCUGGUUGCUCUCAGACCUAAAUGUGGUCUGAAAAUCUGAGCACUUUAAUUCUGUAAGGUAGACUGAAAUAAAUGGUCUUAAUGAAAAGUUCUGGUAAUACCUGUUACAAAUCUCUGUAUCUGUAGGUACCACGAGCAUACUAAAUAUCUGAAAAUGUGUUCGAACUUACUGCACAGUGCUUACCCUUAAACUCUACUUAUUUUCCCUUCCUAAAAAGAAUCAGGCAGCUGUUCAUCAAUUUAAGGAGGCCCACCCUUCAGCUCUCUGGUACCACAUCAGUCAGGAGCAACGUGGUCCGUAUGUGGUGGGAGACUUACAGAAAAAAAAAAAAACGAUCCUGGUGAUGAGACUGCUGGCUAAAAGUGUUUCCUUUCAGAUGUUUGUUUUCAAAAGGGGUCUUUUUUUUUUUCCCCAAAUUGAAGUUCUACAAGCAGUUUUUCUUGACUUUUACUAAACCACAGUUUCUGAAGUUCCAGUGACCAGUUCUGAGAGAGGCUGUUUUUUCCACAGGAUCUUUCUGUGGCUUUUAGGAGUUCUCAGGGCGAAUGGUCUGAGUACCAGUCCUGGCUCCUUUUCCUUUGGCCAUCUGCACAUUUUGCAUGCACAGGAGCUGUUGGCGUGUGUGUGUGCCCAACCCUUUGCAUCUGGAAGAGCAUGCUUUCCAAGGCAGGCCCAUUCAAGUUCUAAAGGAGAGGGUGAGCACUUGGAGGGGCUCCAGCCUCUCACUGCAGAUGGUGCUGCUGUGGCGGGGAGUGGGUGCCGUUCACAGCUCCUCAUUAGCUGGGUCUAUACCCCAUGGAACCCUUCCUGCUCUUAAAUGGACGACAUUGGCUCCGUGCAUUGAGUAUUCACGAGGAGCUUUCAUGUGGUACCAAGUGGUAAAUUCAUGAGGAAAACACAAAGCUAGUUUUAAUGAAUGCAAAAUAAUGUCUGCAUCCCUUUGCUUGCAACUUGAAGCAAAAAAUUACAUCUGAAGGCUAAAAGCAAUGCCAGUAUUUGAUAAUAAUGAAGAAUUAUCGUCAGGCUUUCUUACUUGCUGUGAAAGAGGGAACAAUAACAAUAGGCUGGUUACGAUCUUGGGGUGUCUCAAUCUUUUCCACUUAGCUCCACAAAAAGUCAACUGUCAAUGGGAAGUGAUGAUAUAUAUGGGUUACUGCCUGAGAAGGUUGCUAGAUGGAGAGGCAGUGUUUGAUCUAAGAAAGAAGAUUUCAAAGAGGCUGGAGUGGCUGGGGAGCAUUUGAAACGUUUCAUUUUGAAUUCAGGGUUUGGGUUUUAGUUUUGUUUUUGUUUUUGUACUAGGGACUGAACUCAGGGUCACUCAACCACUGAGCCACAUCCCCAGCCCUGUUUUGUAUUUUAUUUAGAGACAGGGUCUCACUGAGUUGCUCAGUGCCUCACCAUUGCUGA
rnacentral:lncRNA from 1 species